GGCUUGGUGGCGUAAUGGUAACACACUCCGUAAUAAUGCACAUUUCUCAUAUCGGUUUAACGGAGAGUCCGGAGUUCAAUUCUCCGUCAAGCCG